GUUCAGAGUGGCUCAACUAUGAGGGGCUGCCUAGUUACUGAGAAGCUUAUUAUGGAGCUCAGAGAAGUAGUCAGGGCCGACUCUUAGAAAUUGCAGCUCUCCUGUUUACCUGUAAUCAUUUCAGUUGGAAUUACAAAGCAGGUCAGCUGAAAAGAGUCAGCCUGUGAAGCAUUGUAUUUAACUUGGAUUCACCUGGAAAGAUAGAAGUGGAUUCUGUGAUGUCUUCAAUAAAUCCAAAUACUUCUGGUAUAUUACUUGAGGGGUUUUUAAAUAUUGUCAGGAAAAAGAAGGAAGCUCAACGAUAUCGGAAUGAAGUAAGACACAUCUUCACAGCCUUUGACACCUACUAUCGUGGAUUUUUAACUUUGGAAGAUUUCAAAAAAGCAUUUAGGCAGGUGGCUCCCAAAUUACCGGAAAGGACUGUUCUUGAGGUAUUCAGGUAAGGCAUCAAAAUCCUUCUGUACACCACCUUUUGAUUUACCAUUUGCUUUUACAUGUUUUUGACUUUAUGGAAAGAACUUAUUUAUUCUGAUUUUUGAGUCUGGAACAUUUUUCUCUUGCAGCAUAGUGUCAUGGUCCAGGAGGGAAAUCUAUAGUUAGCUAUGAGUCCUUCCAUGCCCCUGACAGUGAACUGUAAAGUUGGGGGAGCGCUUGCACACCAGGCAGGUGCAUACAAGCACUUAUGAGUAGGGGCAGGAGAGGAACAGGAAGAAAGAACUUCUUCAGAUACUUACGUGUGAACCAAGGGAAAAUGGAGCUUUAGUAAUAUUUAGCAUGGAUGCUGGUGUCCUCACAUGGUCUGUAUUUCAGACAAACACAGGUUACAUGUGGUUCUUGAGUUGUCUGGAGAGAACAGCUGGAGUUGCCUGAUGGUAGCCCCCUUGUUCCCUUGCUUUCAAAGCUACUGACACAUGUUGCUGUUCACACAUACCUGAU
rnacentral:sRNA from 1 species